AGGAAUGGAAAGCUGCAGACCUAGUAACUGUAAUACUGAGCAAGUAUAUCAUCUUUCAUUAUCAUAAUCUGUGGAUGAUGAUAAAUAAUCCCUUCACACAAACGCAUGAUUAAAGUAAUGCAUUGAUAAUCACAUGCUUUGAAAUCUACAUCUGGAGUCAAAUUCCACGCAAAAUUUCAUCACUUGGGACUGGAAAGGAGCAAGAGUAAUACCAGGAGAAGGAAGAAGCAUAUUUUUUCACAGAAUAAAUUCUGUGAAGAUAUCACAGGCCCAGCCUUGUCCUGUGUAGAAGGUUUUAUGUAAAGACUUAGCUCUCCCACAUGGUCAGCUGAAAAGACAGGAUGGACCAAGAGCAAGAAAGGAAGCUUUUCUUCAUAAUUCAAAAAUCCCUCAGUGGAUCCAUUGACUGAUACCUAUGGGUGUGAUUGGAUGGCGAUAAUGGAUUAUGCCAGAUAGUGCUGAAAAAGGUCGCUUUGCUGGGAGUGCUCUCUCUUGAAGUCACCCUUCUGUGUAAAUAGGGUUCACUCCAGUUCAUGUCCCAUAAAAGAGUAACCCAACUGCCAGACCAAAAAGAUCCAAACUGAAUACAGAAAACUAUUCAGGUUGGUUCACAAUUUUCCAUGAAUCAUCUGAUUGCCAGAAAAUAGCUCACAGUCCAAAACAUGAACUAUAUCUGCAUAUGAUCACUCCUUGUGAGGCACCAGCUGUUACCUU